CCUACGGGUGGCAGCAGUGAGGAAUAUUGGUCAAUGGACGAGAGUCUGAACCAGCCAAGUAGCGUGAAGGAUGACUGCCCUAUGGGUUGUAAACUUCUUUUAUAUGGGAAUAAAAUGUUCCACGUGUGGGAUUUUGUAUGUACCAUAUGAAUAAGGAUCGGCUAACUCCGUGCCAGCAGCCGCGGUAAUACGGAGGAUCCGAGCGUUAUCCGGAUUUAUUGGGUUUAAAGGGAGCGUAGGUGGAUUGUUAAGUCAGUUGUGAAAGUUUGCGGGUCAACCGUAAAAUGGCAGUUGAAACUGGCAGUCUUGAGUACAGUAGAGGUGGGCGGAAUUCGUGGUGUAGCGGUGAAAUGCUUAGAUAUCACGAAGAACUCCGAUUGCGAAGGCAGUUCACUGGACUGCAACUGACACUGAGGCUCGAAAGUGUGGGUAUCAAACAGGAUUAGAUACCCUAGUAGUC
rnacentral:rRNA from 1 species